rnacentral:rRNA from 1 species
GUGUCAGCCGCCGCGGUAAUACAGAGGAUGCAAGCGUUAUCCGGAAUCACUGGGCAUAAAGCGUCUGUAGGUGGUUUGGUAAGUCUGCUGUUAAAGACUGGGGCUCAACCCCAGAAAAGCAGUGGAAACUGCCAGACUUGAGUGUGGUAGAGGUAGAGGGAAUUCCUAGUGUAGCGGUGAAAUGCGUAGAUAUUAGGAAGAACACCAAUGGCGAAGGCACUCUACUGGACCAUAACUGACACUGAGAGACGACAGCUAGGGGAGCAAAUGGGAUUAGAUACCCCAGUAGUCCUAGCCGUAAACGAUGGAUACUAGAUGUUGCACGUAUUAACCCGUGCAGUAUCGUAGCUAAGGCGUUAAGUAUCCCGCCUGGGAAGUACGCUCGCAAGAGUGAAACUUAAAUGAAUUGACGGGG